rnacentral:rRNA from 1 species
AUUGAACGCUGGCGGCAGGCCUAACACAUGCAAGUCGAGCGGCAGCGGGAAAGUAGCUUGCUACUUUUGCCGGCGAGCGGCGGACGGGUGAGUAAUGCCUGGGAAAUUGCCCAGUCGAGGGGGAUAACAGUUGGAAACGACUGCUGAUACCGCAUACGCCCUACGGGGGAAAGCAGGGGACCUUCGGGCCUUGCGCGAUUGGAUAUGCCCAGGUGGGAUUAGCUAGUUGGUGAGGUAAUGGCUCACCAAGGCGACGAUCCCUAGCUGGUCUGGAGUGAUGAUCAGCCACACUGGAACUGAGACAUGGUCCAGACUCCUACGGGAGGCAGCAGUGGGGAAUAUCGCACAAUGGGGGAAACCCUGAUGCAGCCAUGCCGCGUGUGUGAAGAAGGCCUUCGGGUUGUAAAGCACUUUCAGCGAGGAGGAAAGGUUGUUGGCUAAUAUCCAACAGCUGUGACGUUACUCGCAGAAGAAGCACCGGCUAACUCCGUGCCAGCAGCCGCGGUAAGAC